rnacentral:rRNA from 1 species
AUGAACGCUAGCGACAGGCCUAACACAUGCAAGUCAGGGGCAGCACAAGGAGCAAUCUGAGGUGGCGACCGGCGCACGGGUGAGUAACACGUAUGCAACCUGCCUGUAAGCGGGGAAUAACCCGUUGAAAGACGGACUAAUACCGCAUAAUACUAAAUUACUGCAUGGUAAUUAUUUAAACAUUUAUGGCUUACAGAUGGGCAUGCGCAUGAUUAGCUAGUUGGAGAGGUAACGGCUCCCCAAGGCAACGAUCAUUAGGGGUUCUGAGAGGAAGGUCCCCCACACUGGUACUGAGACACGGACCAGACUCCUACGGGAGGCAGCAGUGAGGAAUAUUGGUCAAUGGACGAGAGUCUGAACCAGCCAAGUCGCGUGCAGGAAGAAUGUCCUUAAUGGAUUGUAAACUGCUUUUGCAGGGGAAUAAAGUGCAUCACGUGUGAUGUUUUGUAUGUACUCUGCGAAUAAGGAUCGGCUAACUCCGUGCCAGCCGCAGC